rnacentral:rRNA from 1 species
ACUGCGGAGGAUCAUUCAUGUUUAUAAAACAGCUUUCUAGAGGGGGUUGCUAUGUGGGUGGUGCGCGCGCUUUCGGGCGAGUGUGCUUUUUCGCAUGCAAUUCUUUCUAGGAGGCUACAACCAUUCCGGUGACCAUUCUAUACCUUUUCCGCAAAAUGGUGCGCGAGCCUUUCGAGGUAAGCCACUGUUUUGUAUAUAAUAUUUUAUCUAAAACCCACCAUGAAAAACCACAACAGAAACGAAACCAAGAAAAUAAAACUCGUGACGGAGGAUAUCUUGGCUCCCACAUCGAUGAAGAACGCAGCGAAAUGCGAUACGUAGUGUGAAUUGCAGAACACGUGAGUCAUCGAAUCUUUGAACGCAAGUGGUGCUCGCGGGCAAUCCUGCGAGCAUGUCUGUUUGAGUGUCCGCACAAAUUACUCGCACCCUUUUGUUCUUUUUGCUUUGGAAUUUAUUCCGAGGUAGGAAGUGAGAAAGGGGGCGGCGAUUGGGUUUUUAAUCUGCUUCACUGCGGAAGACCCGGAAAGCAGUGCUUGGAAAAUGGUACGGGGGUUUCGGCUCUUCGUGUCCUUCCGUGUGCGUUAACAUGUCUGCGCGACUAUUUAGCGCGGAAAACCAGUGUUUAAAACCAGCAAGCAAUGCGUGGUGCUUUUGUAGCGUCCGCUGCGCUGAGAAGAAAGGAAGUCUGGACGGGAUCAACGUUUCGGAGCUCUCUGCUGGGAAGUAACUACAUUCCAGGGGGGCGACGAGAUUGUGGAUGUUUUGUGCCAAACUGCCAUGAAAAAACUUUUCGGGGCACACGGCGGGAAUAGUCCGGCUGGAGGAGGAGUUCAUUUCAUAUGGACGCAUUCUCUGGUUGGAAUUCUGCGGUGUAAAAGGCGGUGCGUGAAGGGGUGCUGUACACUACAUGCGCAGUGCGUCACUGGCGGACUUUAUUUUUUGGAUCUCAAAUCAGGCAAGACUACCCGCUGAACUUAAGCAUAUGGAUCCCGGGG